GCCAGCCUGCGUAAACACCAGUGUAAUUCUACGCACUCAGCGAAAUGGACCACAUGGACGUGUUUCACGUGGUGAAGCAUUGUCUGUGUAUUCUAAAGAAGGAGCUUUUGUGGACUUUGACCUCUACCUUGACAGGGUGACAACGACUACGGCUGAAAUCAUCAUAGACCCGCAUCUUCCGCCGUCCUGCUCACCGCGUUACUGCGGGGCGUAUAUAUGUCGCUUCUACAAGAGUGGAGCGAUCGUGAAAAAUUGUUGGGGUGAGGAGUGCGAGGCACGUAAAUCAUACAGCAGCGAAAUGGUCGUGAACUUAAAACAUCUCACUCCUGGAGGAUUUCAUACGUGCAGAGUUACCCUCAGGUACAACAAUGAAGUCGCAAAACAAAUCGGAUUCAACGCCA